ensembl:lncRNA
GAGGAAAAAUUGUACACAGAAAUGAUUCCCACCAGCCUGUGUGCGGACGUGUGUGUGUGUGCGCGCUGUAGUAGUUCUGUCCUUGUGAGGCCCGACUUUAGAGGGAUUCGAGUGAGAUUGUUUUGGACUUUUUGCUGCGUCACACACGAGCAACACGAGGUGUGUCGGCUAGAAUGAGGUUAAGAGCAAAGCCGGGUUGAAGCAAUUAAAGUAGUUUGGGUUAAAGUAAAGUCAUUUAAUGUCAGUCACAGGUUGGUCCUCACAAGACUGAUCUGCACUGCGCGUGUGUGUGUGUGUGUUUUCCCUGUUGUGGAGGUGCAAAGCCAUUUGUUUUAGCUGAUGAUAAAGGCACCAGUACAUUUGGAGCGACAGAGUAGGGAAUUAUAAGAACGUGUGUGUGGAACUGGAAUUGGAACCGGCACGGCUCGGGCCCCGAGGAACGCACGCACACACACACACACACACACGCACAACUCAUACUAGUAACGCUGUGAUGUAGCUUCACCAGACAACUCAAACGCACUUAUCCUUUGUCUUUCUCUCCGACUGUGAUCGAUAGACGCACACACAUCCAGGCUGCCAUGUAAGCUCAGCUACGCCCCGUUUUAAAGAGGUCACUUUCACACAAACACCGUGUGUUUAUACCAGAGAUUCCCAGUGACCAUCAGUUACAGGACGUUAAAAUCAGCAGCACGGAAGGAGGAAAAGAAAAGCCAAAAGCCGAAAAUGACCUCGAGAACGUCUUGUAGCUCAGCGACUGCUUUGGUUUGUCCGUGACAAUAUGCCAGAAAUCAUAAUAUUACCAUCAGUCAAAUUAGGGAGAGAGCUAUUAGACAUCUAGUUAUAAUAAUUUGGGUGUGUUCAUGUGUGUGGGAAGGUGAGGUGGUCUCUGCAUGAAGGGAAACCACGGCCUGAUCCACAAAAGUGGAAGAGCAAAUAUGCAUAUAAAGAUUUAUAUAUACAUUGGAUGUCUUUUUAACUGUGGGUGUGUGUGUGUGUGUGAGAGAGAGAUGGAGAGAAAUAAAGGC